rnacentral:rRNA from 1 species
GGCUAGAGUUUGAUCAUGGCUCAGGACGAACGCUGGCAGCGCGCCUAACACAUGCAAGUCGAACGGGAUGCGGAGAGGAUUUAUCUUUUCUGUUUCUAGUGGCGAACGGGUGAGUAACGCGUGAGGAACCUGCCUCAAAGUGGGGGACAACAGUUGGAAACGACUGCUAAUACCGCAUAAGCCCACGGUGCCGCAUGGCACUGAGGGAAAAGGAUUUAUUCGCUUUGAGAUGGCCUCGCGUCCGAUUAGCUGGUUGGUGAGGUAACGGCCCACCAGGGCGACGAUCGGUAGCCGGACUGAGAGGUUGAACGGCCACAUUGGGACUGAGACACGGCCCAGACUCCUACGGGAGGCAGCAGUGGGGAAUAUUGCACAAUGGGGGAAACCCUGAUGCAGCGACGCCGCGUGGAGGAAGAAGGUCUUCGGAUUGUAAACUCCUGUUGUUGAGGAAAAAGAGGAUGGUACUCAACAAGGAAGUGACGGCUAACUACGUGCCAGCAGCCGCGGUAAAACGUAGGUCACAAGCGUUGUCCGGAAUCACUGGGUGUAAAGGGAGCGCAGGCGGGUAUGCAAGUUGGGAGUGAAAUACAUGGGCUCAACCCAUGAACUGCUCUCAAAACUGUGUAUCUUGAGUAGUGCAGAGGUAGGCG